rnacentral:rRNA from 1 species
UCUGGUUGAUCCUGUCAGUAGUCAUAUGCUUAUCACAAAGAUUAAGCCAUGCAUGUCUAAGUACACGAUUUUAUAUAUCGAAACCUCGGAUGGCUCAUUAUAACAGCUAUGAUUUGAGAGAUAUUAUCAUUUGCCACAAGAUAAUUGUGGUAAUUCUAGAACUAAUACUUUAUAGAAUGCCAUGACUCACGAAGUGGCGGAUUUAUUAGAUCAAAACUAACCUGUCCUAGACAGUAAUUUUUGACUCUGAAUAACUUUACUGAUCGUGCGACCUCUGUGUUGACGACGAAUCUCUUGAAAUGUCUGACCUAUCAACUUUCGAUGGUAAGAUCAAAGCUUACCAUGGUUGUAACGGGUAACGGGAAAUUAGUGUACGAUUACGGAGAGGGAGUCUAAGAAACGGUUACCGCAUCCACGGAAGGCAGCAGGCGCGAAAAUUACCCAAUGCCGGUUCGGCGAGGUAGUGACAAUAAAUAACAAUAUGGACCCUAGUGGUUUCAUAAUUGCAAUGAGAUUAUUUUAAAUACUUUUUCAAGUAUCAAUUGGAGGGCAAGUCUGGUGCCAGCAGCCGCGGUAAUUCCAGCUCCAAAAGCGUAAAUUAAAGUUGUUGCAGUUAAAAAUCUCGUAGUUGAAAUUGAGAUAGAUUAAAUUUGAAAUCUUAUGAUUGAUUAUUACUAUACCUUUUCUUCGUGUAUAUUGGUGAGGGACUUAAUUGUUUUUUACUAAUAACUGAAAUGUUUACUUUGAAAAAGUUAGAGUGCUUAAAGCAGGCUUACGCUUGUAUAUUGUUGCAUGGAAUAAUAAAAAAGGCUAGAGGUAAAAUUCUUAGACCAUCAGCAGACAAACUACUGCGAAAGCAUUUGCCAAUAAUGUUUUCAUUAAUCAAGAACGAAAGUCAGAAUAUCGAAGCAUCAGCAGACAAACUACUGCGAAAGCAUUUGCCAAGAAUGUUUUCAUUAAUCAAGAACGAAAGUCAGAGGAUCGAAGACGAUCAGAUACCGUCCUAGUUCUGACCAUAAAUUAUGCCAACUGACAGUUAGUAAAGAUGAAUUAUUUCUUCUUACUAGAAGUCACCGGGAAACCAAAGUCUUUUGGAUUCCAGGAGAAGUAUGGUUGCAAAGCUUAAAGGAAUUGACGGAAGGGCACCACAAGACGUGGAACUUGCAGCUUAAUUUGACUCAACACGGGAAAUCUCACCCGGUCCGGACACUGUGAGGAUUGAUAGAUUGAUAGCUUAUACUAAAUAGUUCAAACUUUAUAAAACUUAAAAUAACUGGUAUUUUAUUUCUGUCUUUGGUUAUUGAUAAUAAAUUAAAAUAUAUAUAAUGGUUAGGUAAUUAAAACAUUAAGAGGACAUUUGAAACUGGCGCAAGCAAAGGGCCAAAAAAACCUUAAGGAGUCAGGUAUUAAAAGUUUAAAACCGAUUUCACAUUUUUAUAAUAAGGGUUCAUCAAAUCAAGCAGAAAGACCUUCAACAUUUAACACAGAAAAAUCCACAGUUGAAACUUUAGUAAGCGAUACAGUUAUCGAAAUAGUGGAACUAAAUGAAAAUAAUGUUGAGACUGAGAGCAUUAAAAUUGUAACCACAGUGCGAGAGAGU